rnacentral:tRNA from 1 species
GGGGACGUGGCGGAACUGGCAUACGCGCAACGUUGAGGGCGUUGUGGGGAAACCCAUGGAGGUUCAAAUCCUCUCGUCCCCA